UAUAUCCUAACAUAGUAGGAGUAUAUUACAAAUAAAAUAAUUAUAUGUGGAAGAAGAAUAUAUAGACGAGACAUGGAGCAGAUUUGAUAGAAUUGCGUGAAUGGAAGGCGUGGGUGCAUUCACAGCGUGGUUCAUCACCAUAUACGCCAUCGGAUACAUGUUCUGCUUCAAAAAGUGGGCCAAAAAACAGAGAGGCGAAGCAUCAAGCUGCCUAAUCUCCCUGGCACACGGCACCCCAGCACUAAUCCUAUCAAUCCCAAUCCCAACUCGCAUCCCCAAACACGCCCUUCCAAAACCUAGUCCUCGACUACAGCAUUGCCUACUUGAUCACCGACCUCAUCCUCACCCCCUCCGACGCCCUCUUCAUCCUCCACCACCUCGCCACCCUCGGGAUACUCGCGCUCGCCGAAGUGACUUCGUUUUGUCAGAACGUGUGGAGCCUGGCGAGAUGCCGGCGGGGGGAAUCGGGUUUUACAGCGUGGUGAGGGGGAUUGUGGGGCCGUUGUAUGUGUACAGGAUUCCGAGGUGGGGUUGGGUUUCUUGGAUUGUUGUGAUGGCGGUGGGGAUUGGGUUGAGCGUUUUGUGGGUUCUGCAUCUCUGGCUUCACUUGUACAGCCGCAGCCGUAGAGUCAAACAGGAGGUCAACAAGUUCAAUUAGUACUCCAUAAUUAGUAGGACUACAUUUUUUUUGUUUUUAACUUCAUUUUUUUUUAUGAAUUGUUGAUUGAUGCCUUUUCUUUAUAUGUGAAUAUUGGGAGUAACAAAAUUGGGAGAGGCAAAUGACGAAAAAGGACUUAAAUGAAGCUUGGGGACUUUGUUACAACUUACAAUGCAAUUUCUACCUACAGACUACAAUGGUACUACUUUUAUUUCUUCAUUGCUAUUUCUCUUUCUUGUUUCAGGGACAAAGAAUUCUUGGUUCUUUAUUACUA